AUGAAAAAGAAAGGAGGUAGAAUUUUUUUGGAUUUAUGGUUAAAGAAGAAAAAGAAGAAAACAGGGGUUCUGUUGAAUUUCAAGUAUUCAGUAUUCAGUUUCACCAAUAAGAUACGAAGACUUGCUUCACAUUUGGAAUUACAAAAAAAAGAUUUUUCAUCGGAAAGAGGUCUACGGAGACUUUUGGGAAAACGUCGACGUUUGCUGGCUUAUUUGGCAAAGAAAAAUAGAGUACAUUAUAAUAAAUUAAUCGGUCAAUUGAAUAUUCGGGAGCAGUAA
rnacentral:rRNA from 1 species